AACUUACAAUUCCCACGAAAACUUUUAAAAAUUGACAGUACCUCCUUUAUGUUUUAUAACGUAUCAAGAUGCUUCAACUACAGCCUCGACCCUAUCAGUGAAGUGUGCGCAGAAAACUGUGCUGAAGAAAUACAACCAGUGGUUAACAGGAAUUAUUCCAAUAAUUCUGAUGAUGAGAAAGACUCCCAUGGUUUAGAAGAGGUUUAGAAGAGAUUGUGUGGAUAAAGAAAGCGAUAAGGAUGAGCAAGAUGAAGAUAUUGGGGCUCAGCAGAAUCCAAAAUGGCCAAGGAGAUGAGGAAGGUCAGUGAAUGGAGGUGAAACUAAACAACAAACAGCAGAAGAGGAAUGCUAGAAAGGAGAGAUGGCUGGAAAAAAAUAGGCAGGAAGAAGAUGAAGAUGAACAUCAAAUCAAUGUCAGAAGACUUGGCAUCGAAAUGCAAUACUGAUGAGGCCAUUGAAGUUGCAAUUGUCAAGGCUCUUGACAACCCUGAUGGUGGAAUUGUUGGAGGAGCUGAUGCUGAAGGAAAGAAUGAGGAGGUUGGAGAAGCAGAAUCUGGGGAAGCAGACCCUCACAUGGGAGAAGCCGUUAAAGAAGUGGAGUACAAUGCCAAGGCUGAAGGAGAGAAGGAGUCUGGGGGUGAGAACGGUUAAUGCAUAGAUAUUAAUAUAGAAUGAUUAUAAUAUUUUAUAAUUAAUAAAUAAACAGAGUUAGAGAAAUCGGAUGUUGCAGGGCCCAGCCGUAUGAGGAAACGUCGUUUGACCAAGCGUGGUCCAAAGAAUUUAAAAAAAAGUUUAACUUGGUCAAGGAUUUUCAAAAGUACUGCAGUGCUUCGGGUAGGUUUUCCACACAAAAAAAAAACAAUUUUUUUUACUGACAAUACAUCUUAAUUCUAGAUACCGACUGAG